GACGAACGCUGGCGGCGUGCCUGAUACAUGCAAGUUGAGCGAUGAAGAUUGGUGCUUGCACCAAUUUGAAGAGCAGCGAACGGGUGAGUAACGCGUGGGGAAUCUGCCUUUGAGCGGGGGACAACAUUUGGAAACGAAUGCUAAUACCGCAUAACAACUUUAAACAUAAGUUUUAAGUUUGAAAGAUGCAAUUGCAUCACUCAAAGAUGAUCCCGCGUUGUAUUAGCUAGUUGGUGAGGUAAAGGCUCACCAAGGCGAUGAUACAUAGCCGACCUGAGAGGGUGAUCGGCCACAUUGGGACUGAGACACGGCCCAAACUCCUACGGGAGGCAGCAGUAGGGAAUCUUCGGCAAUGGACGAAAGUCUGACCGAGCAACGCCGCGUGAGUGAAGAAGGUUUUCGGAUCGUAAAACUCUGUUGGUAGAGAAGAACGUUGGUGAGAGUGGAAAGCUCAUCAAGUGACGGUAACUACCCAGAAAGGGACGGCUAACUACGUG
rnacentral:rRNA from 1 species